rnacentral:lncRNA from 12 species
UGAAGGACUGGCUUUGCCUUAUUUUCUGUAAUCAGCAAGGAGAGAGGGGGCUCAAUAACUAAAGUCUGACCGGACCAAGGGAACUUACUGUUCUGGAAGCUGACAAUAUCCUGGGAAAAGGGAGCCCAAGUCGUGUAUCAUGACCUGUGAGAAGACAUACAAGAGAGGAUCAGAAUGAUUGCCUUUUAGGCUCCCCAACAAGGAGAAGUUUAAUGGGAACGUCCACCUUGAUGGACUUCAGCGGCCUC